rnacentral:circRNA from 1 species
GUUGGUGUUCGAGGAAGAGACAUUGUUGUUCUUGGUGUGGAGAAGAAGUCAGUGGCCAAACUGCAGGAUGAAAGAACAGUGCGGAAGAUCUGUGCUUUGGAUGACAACGUCUGCAUGGCCUUUGCAGGCCUCACCGCCGAUGCAAGGAUAGUCAUCAACAGGGCCCGGGUGGAGUGCCAGAGCCACCGGCUGACUGUGGAGGACCCGGUCACUGUGGAGUACAUCACCCGCUACAUCGCCAGUCUGAAGCAGCGUUAUACGCAGAGCAAUGGGCGCAGGCCGUUUGGCAUCUCUGCCCUCAUCGUGGGUUUCGACUUUGAUGGCACUCCUAGGCUCUAUCAGACUGACCCCUCGGGCACAUACCAUGCCUGGAAG